rnacentral:rRNA from 1 species
UUCGCAAUGCCCGAAAGGGUGACGAAGCGACGCCGCGUGCGGGAAGAAGGCCUUCGGGUUGUAAACCGCUGUCGGGAGUUAAGAAAUGCAAGGAUGUCAAUAGCAUCUUUGCUUGACUAAGGCUCCGGAGGAAGCCACGGCUAACUCUGUGCCAGCAGCCGCGGUGAUACAGAGGCGGCAAGCGUUGUUCGGAAUUAUUGGGCGUAAAGAGCACGUAGGCGGCUAUGUAAGUCGGUUGUGAAAGCCUUCCGCUCAACGGGAGAACAGCAUCCGAUACUGCAUGGCUUGAGUGCGGGAGGGGAGAGUGGAACUUCUGGUGGAGCGGUGAAAUGCGUAGAUAUCAGAAGGAACGCCGGCGGCGAAAGCGGCUCUCUGGCCCAUAACUGACGCUGAGUGUGCGAAAGCUAGGGGAGCAAACGGGAUUAGAUACCCCGGUAGUCCUAGCCGUAAACGAUGGGCACUAAGUAGAGGGGUUUU